ensembl:lncRNA
AAAUAAGCUGCGGUAGUGUUUUCUACAGUGACCUGAAAGCUUGUAGUAACUUGCUGUGACCUUUGUUGUCCUCCAGAAUAAAUAGUAUACAUUGAUGGAGGCCACAUGCUCGCUGCAUUUUGCAAGCAGUCAUAGCUUUAAUUUUUAAUGUGCCACAAGUCUCAGUGUUUCCCGCGGGUCUCCCUGAGAGGUGGAAUUGCUUAAUAAGGAGGGGAGCGGUAAAUAGGUUGACGUGGAGAAGCCGUGUGAUAAUGCAAUAGAAAAACUUCCUUCUGCAGGAAUGCCCUGAGCGUGUCAGUCCUCUGUAUCGCCCUGUGCACUGGGUAAAGUGCCAGGUUUCUCGCACUCUCUGGGCUGCCAGUGGCUGUCGCUUUCAAACCAGCUUCUGUUCGAACCCUGGCUGUUUUUUGGGAAAAGAGCAUUCAGGAUGGUUUUGGCGGCAAGAAGAUGGAGGCUGACACUAAGGGCAAAUUUCCAGAGUAGGAGAGUGUUUUCAGCCUGAAAUAAGCAUUGCCAGGAGCUGCUCUGUGCUUUGAGGAGGAGGGUUCUGCGGAGCGGCCAAGGUUUCGCUUCAAAGAGUCGGGAGGAGAGGGUACGAGGUGCAAGUCAACAGCGGGGGGGGGAGCAGCAGCGCUGACCCGACGCUGUCCAAACUCCUCUUCUCUGAUCAAUCCCAAAGAACGGAAAGAGAGCGAGAGGUGGAGACUCCCUUCCUUCCUGCAAUGCAUUUAUCAUGGCCGCAGGAGCCGGAGAAAAGGCCACAUAACAGAAGAGGCAAACGUUCAUGAAGAUGCUGUGCAGGACCUCGAGGAAGAAGUGGCUCUGAGCAGACUGUCACCCAACGGAAACUAUGAAGAAGCUGCUGGAGGCACRGGCACCUAGAGCUGCCGGGCACCCAGCACAGGCCAUGUCCUGGAUCUGCCUGGUUGAUUUGGAGCUGUGGGAGGAAGAGCUGGCGCAUGCCCACGUGCCUUCUCCUCUGGGGAGCAGCUGCUCGCCUUAACUCGCCAGGGCCUUCUGUAGCUACCACCAGCCUCCAGCGUCCGUGCUAGCCAGUCCUCCUCUGCUCACAGCGCUGCAGCAGCAGAGCCUUGCGGGGGCUGUGUCCCACUGCCCGUGGGGUGCCUGGAGCUGCCAAUGGGCAACGGUCUUUUGAGAAGCCCUUUGGGAACGUUGUCUUCUGGCUGGGUGUGAAGAUGUGGGGAUUUGGGUUGUUAAAUGCUGCAAUCUGCCUGCAGAAAGAGGAAUGCUUCCAAAUUCUGAGCAAAAUUCCCUGCUGAGAGAGGCCUUUCAGGCUGUUCUCCCUGGCAAGCAGACUCUGCUGCCGUGUUUUCCUGCUUUAUUGCUGUUUUGAAGUUGCCUCCCACUCUCUGAUCAGGAAAAGAAARACGAGUAACAUGGUGGCAUGGGGACUGCAGUGGGACUAAGUGUGAGGCCUCGAAUUGACCAGCAGGCUGAAAAGGCUUGAACAUUACUGUGUAAUGCAAAGAAAUGCAGUAACCGCCUGUUCUGGGUCGCAAGAAUAAUGCAGAAGAUACGGAAAAUAAUGGCAGUGGGAGCGUGGUUUUGAGAGCAGGAUGCAUCUGCCUGGCUUGUCUUGGCGUUCACAGACUGACCGACGGGCUGCUUGGGCUGGGAGGUGACAGACAUGGACUGCUAUGUGGUUGAUGUUAGAUGGGGUGAGGAGAGAGGCCUGUCUGAGCAUGGACGUCUCCACAACCAUGUGGUGUCAGGUCCAGGAGGAGGCCCACUGUGUUCCUCUCACUGAGAUGUCGCUGCUUCAUGAAUGAAUGAAUAAAUACAUAUAUAUGUAUGAAGAAUCA